rfam:Danio rerio chromosome 23, GRCz11 reference primary assembly.
UUCAUUCAUUAUUGUAAGUCGCUUUGGAUAAAAGCGUCUGCUAAAUGGCUAAAU